UUAUUUAACAACCAAUGAGACUCAACAGUAAACAAUCUUUCUCCAAAAUGACUGACCCCACCUUUAAACUUUUACCUUUAAAAUACUUCUCUGCCUGUAAGGGAAUUCUGAAUACAUUAAUAGUAUCUCAAAUAAUGUGCUAAAUAUGCUACAGUGCAUUUAUUUAAAUGUCAUUAGGAUCAUACUGUAUAGUGAAAGUAAACAAAUCAAUACAGCUGCAAAAUACAGAUCAAUACUAAAUACAGAUAUUGUAAAAAAAAUAUUCAGAAAAACACAUAUAACACUAUGAAACUAUUAUUAGCAACACUGAUGAGCCACUUUACCCCUGCAUGGGGUAUUUCCUAUUACCACAGAUAACAAGACAAGCAUAACAGUGAGUCUUAUUAUAAAUUUUAGCACAGUUAAAAUUGAGUUUUAAUCACACAAAACUCUCUCUGAACAAUCUCAGAUCAAUGGACAAUAUUGUCUAUAAAGAGAAAAUUAAUUAGCCACUAUUUUGGUAAUCAAUGAAUUUAGUUUUAUGCCACUUGGUACAUAUUCACUGAUUCUCCAGUGUGGGGAUUUGCUGAUUUUCUGGUUUACAUCAUUGUAAACUGAAACAUCUUUGGGUUUUGGACUGUUAGUUGGACAAAAAAACUAUUUGACAUCACAUAAAAAAGUUUGGGGCAUUUCUCACUUUUUUCUAAAAUUCAAAACAAUUAAUUUAUUGAGAAUUAAAUAACAAAUUAGUUAUUAUUAUAACAGAGUAUAAUGUAGAUGUAAGCAGAUAAAAGUGUAAAUGUAUUUGUCUAUAGCUAUAACUACUCUUGUUGGCACCCAUAAGCAGAGGUACUGUAAAAAAAUAAUGACUACACAGUUGUAAUAACAUAAAAUAUGUCUUCAUAUGAGAAGUUAUAAUUGUUGACAAAUACUGUAGAUUAAUAAACACAUUAAAUGUUUGAAAAUUGACCUUAUAGCUGCUUAAUAGUAAUUUAAACACCAGUUAUUAAAUGUUUAUAUACUGCCAGUGAAAGCUAAAUAGGGGGACUUGGGUAAAGUAAACAUUAUCUCAUUAUCUGCUGGUAUCUGCUGGCUUCACCCACACAGCAUUGGAGCAGAACUUCGUGCUGCAGUAAUAAGUGGUGUGCUCCCGAUCCUGGCAACAAAAAUAACAGCACACCUGACAGAAUGCAGCUGUCAGACGGAGCGGAGACGUGAUAUUAACUGACGGCAUUAUCCUACCCUUUCAGCUUUGCCCUUCUCUCUGUCUCUUUCCUGCUCUAUCUGGAGAGCAGGAGGAGAGCAACAGACAGGCGCAGAGAGAGAGGAGAGACAGAUUAUGAGGCAGGGCGAGGCAGAGAUACACAUAGAGAGAGAGGAGGAGAGGUGGUGAGAGACAGAGCCCAUGUAGGGUGCCAUGCUCCAGCCCUGUGUGUGGCCGCCAGCAAGUACCCAGAACCACACUAACGUCAUGAGCACUGGCUACCAUAUGCUGGAGCCCCUUGGCGAAGCUAUUCUCAGCAUUUACUUGUUUCUGUCUUUUACACACACACACACACACACACACACACACACACACACACACACACCGAUACACACCUCUCUCUGUUUGUCUCUUUUCUCUCCCUAGGAACCCCGGGAUCAUGCAAGUGGAAAACUGGACUGAGAAAUGCUUGCUGGCUUAUGUAAGAGAGACUGUAGGUAGGGCAGAUUAGGUGCAAACAGGAAACAGGAAAGUCUGAGGGCAGACAGGCAGAUGGUAGCUACGGAACGGUAUGAUGGCGGUAGAUUUGUCAGAAGCAAAUUGGUUCAUUUUCCCAAAGAGACUACCCAAUACUAAAGUCAAUCGAUACUGAAACAAUCCCAUUCCCUCCUAUAAUCUCUGUGAGUCACUUGCAAGUGGUGCAGGUGACUGGAAGUCCAAUGUGACCUCCAAAGCAGCAGCUUGAUUGGAUUUGUGUGUCUGGUUUACAGAUAAAAAGAAUGAACCACAUAAACUGUACACUGCCUUUGAAAAAGUAAGUAUAGGGUUUAAUGUACCUCCAUGGCAUCUGGCUCAUGUUUUGCUGUGUUUUCAGUGUUUCGGCAUGUCAUUGAUUGCACUGGGUGGCAGAUGGAAACACACAGUUAUUUGUAUUUCCUGCUUUUUCCAUCACUUACACAUCUGCAGCACAUCUAAGCAGCCAUGAAAAGGGAUUCACAUUUUUCAACUCCCACAGUCCUUUGUGGAUCCCAUUUUCUCCUCUCCUCAUUUAAAUAGCUGUGACAAACUGAAUUAUGCACACAUCCCAAACUGUUCUAUCUCAGACUGCAUAUGAAUCCAGUUCAACCACACUCACACACACACACACACACACACACACACACACACACACACACACACAAACAGAGACAUAUAGUGGUAAACAUGCCUCUCUUUGUGUAAAAUAUACACAGUGGCUUAAGUGCUGAACAUCAUUUUAUCACUUCCCAUAGUGACACAUCUUAGUGCUGGUGAAUAAGAGAGUGUGUUUACUGAACUGUCAGCCUCUCUGGUGAAUAACCCCAUGGCUGGCAAAGUGGCAUUUAAGGUAAAAACUAAAAGUCAGCUCAAAAAAAAGAAAAUCGGCACACAGAACGGUACAGAGUGUUUAUCCCAGUGGGGCUUCCCAUGAAUAUGCAUAGGUAAGUUUGCUUUAAUGUAACUGCAAAUGUUAUACUCCCACAGGUGAAAUAGUGACCUGAAUGUGAGCAAAAUCUGACUGGUUCAAUUGAAAGGAUUCCUUCAACAGUCUUUUAUACUCUCUUACAGAAAGCAACUGAUGGGAAACUCAGACAGCACAAAGACAGUAACAUCAUUACUCACAUCCAAAAAGAACAAAAUUACAUCUUGUGAUUGUUCUUCACUGGCUAGAAAUGCAAUCUACAACCCCUAAAGACAUGGUUCAUCCCUGAUGUUUAUUGUCUAUGUUGUUGUUCUCAGUGUUAAGCUCCAGGCACAGUGAGAUUUCAGUGCUGAGGCACAGUGUGACAGUGUGGCCAGGUGCUUGGAUGACUCACGUUGCUGAGACUGGAGACAAGCAGCCCAAAUACCACAAUGUGGGAGAGUGGUGGGAGCGUUGGCUGUAGCCUAAAGUUUCAAGGACCAAACGCUUGGUUCGGCAUGUUUUACUGCUGCUGUUUACACCAUAACACAUUCAGUGUCUAUAUGAAACAUUUUGUCAGAGUAGACUGAAUAGUAGUAAAAACACAAAUGGUAAAUGGACUUCACUUUUACAACACAGCACUUAAUCUUAGUUGGUGAAGGAGACUCACCCAUUCACACACACACACACACACACACACACACACACACACACACACACACACACACACACACACACACACACACACACACACAUACAUACACUCACGCAUUGUUAACAGCAGAGCUGCCAUUAAAGGUACUGGCCCGGCCCUUGGGAGCAAUUUGUGGUUUGUGGCCUCUGUAUGGUCUUAUGCACAAAUACUGUCAGGUUAGGUGUUAUAAACAGUAUUUUUGGGGAUUUAAUAUGAUUUUCUGCAAUAAUUCAAAAGGGUUUCAUUUCAUAAUUUGUGCCUGUGAAUCUUUUCAUCUUGCUCUGCUACCAUGAGAUCCUGUCCUUCGUUUGAUCCUCAACUCAAUAUGCUGCACUCUCUAUAGGCUCCCUAGUUAUUUUUGGUAUUCUUCAUUUGCAUUUUGCAGGGGAAUCUACGUGUUCAGAUUCAGGGGUGGGUAUUAACGCACAUGAGUACAAUUACCCCACCACCCUUUUUUUUAAACUGUAAACUCUUGACUAUAUUUUUAAGCCAAUAAACUAGUUUUUACUUUGCUACAUUUACCAUUUAUACUUUCAUUAGAACUCAACAGCUAAAUGUAAGGAUUCAGUGUAUAGGUGUGGAGAGUGCACAAGGAGCACCUCUACUAUAGAUGUCAAGUUGCUUCUGAAGGCAGUUUCAAGUGACAAUCCCUGGCAAAAACAUCUGGCCACUUUUUAUAUCAAAAUCUAAACAACAAAACAGUUACACAAUGAAGUGCUCACUGUGCCUCCCAAAAAACUCUGAGCUCUAUGCUUUCAAAAACUAAUUGUCUAACCUCCACAAGCACACUGAAAUAGGUUGCACAUACUGUAAGUGAAAUGUGUUUAGCUACCUAGCGUUAAUUUUUGAUGUGUCACAAUCUUUGAUGUUAUGUUAAUGACAAUGGUCUUCUGGCCUUUUAUGUUGGUGCAGAAAGCUGUUAACCAAACAUAAUGUCAACUUCAACAUUAACAUUACUUUUUGCAGUAGUAAACACAGCCUGAAAAAUAUUAAAAUGGAAAAUAACUUGCCCUUUCAGUAAUUUAUUAACCUGCUACUGUUCACCUGAGUCAUUUUUUAUGGAAGUAAUUGUAUUUUUACUUACUCUUAGAUUUUCAGUACUCUACCCACCACUUCUCACAAUGAAUUUGUCUCAGUUACUUUCCAGAUGUUGUCAUCGGCAAUCUAUAGACUUAUUAUAUAUAUAUAGACAUAAUUACAUGGAUGUUCUAGUUGUCAUUAGUCUUCCUCAUAUAAUUCUUGUAACUCACUUCACCUACAGAGCUACUUCUGUGUGCUUUAUGCAGUCAAAUAAGAGGGUGUAGAAUGAGGCUGACUAAUCUAAUCUUUCCCGUGGCCAGUCAAGACUCUAACGAAGUGUGGGCAGUAUCACCUCCCUCAUCACACUGGACAAUUAGGAUUUCUCUCUGGCUCCAAAGAUGAGUGAAUAAAUACCAAAGACAGACGGCCUAAGACUAUGACAAUGAUAUGCCAUAAUUGCAUCCAGAUAAAUGGGGCUAUUAAGAGUGUAUGAUCUCCAUAGUGGGACCAAAUGGAGUGUGAAAAUGCGUCAUCGCCACUUAAGUCUGCUUCAUGAUCCAGGCUUAUGGGGUCGAAAGAGAACAAAGAAAGAGGGUUAUAAAUGUGUGGAUAUUGCUACUAUAGAAGCUGUUCUUUGUAUUACUUUGGCACUGUUAUAAUAUGUGUUGGUUUAUGUGGCUAUAAGAGAAAAAUAUAUGAGAAAUAUAGCCUAUCUAGGAGUUAGAGUUUCCUGCAUAGACAGGAGAUGAACAUUUGUUAGGACAGCUGGCUGGGCACAAAUUUAAAACAGUUCUCUAAAAAAUAUAUUUCCAAAGUGUCAAGGAUACAGUGGAAAGUGGAGCAAGAGAAACUUUUAAAACUGACUCCAGCUAUCUCCCCUGGAAGAUGAAGAACAUGCUUCUUGAAAUGAGCUGUCUACAGUCCAAAUCUAUUUCUGCUUCAGUUGCUGGCAAAACUCGAUGGUUGCUGGAGGGGAGCAAGGAGCUUCCAGGCAUCCUCUGUAUCCCGCUCUGUCAACAUCUUCAGCAAUUUUCUGCACAACGAGCACAUAAUGCCCACAGCUUACCUACCAAUUCAAUUCAAAAGAUUAGAAGGAGCAAGAAAUGGCUUUUUCAUCAAAUCAUCUCUGUUCUGUGCCAGGACAAGUCUUGGAAAAACUUUUUAACCAUCUUGCAAUGCUGAAAAAUAAUCUUCCCACAUGAGCAUAUUGUGUAUUAUAGUGUACCUGUAGGCUGCAGGAAGCACUCUGACUUUUACAAUAGGGAAUAAAACAUAACUAGCAUUAAGGAGAUCGUUAGAAGUAUCAUUCCAACUAACAGUUUCAGAACAAGCCUGAUGUAUGAAUAAAAAACAAGACUGAAAAAGACACUAUCUAACAGGAGAGGAUGAGCAAAUCCAUCACUAAGUUUCUAUUAAUUCCUAAUUUCCUAGUUACUACUAACUAGUUUCAUCUAUCUAUCUAUCUAUCUAUCUAUCUAUCUAUCUAUCUAUCUAUCUAUCUAUCUAUCUAUCUAUCUAUCUAUCUAUCUAUCUAUCUCAUUGCCUUGGAGUUAAUGAUUAGUGACUUGUCCUCUUUAAAAGCUUUUUUUAAUCCUGCGUACUUUGGCCAAAUGGUGUAUAUUCAGACAGCGUGUGUGCUUUGACUCUUAAUGUCCACACAGACCAAUCCGGUGAGACAACGACUCAUUAUUAAACACUGAUUGAAGUUGGUGUUAGAAAGGAGAGCAGGCUGCCUACAGAUGAAGCAGGACAUACAAGAUGAGGGACACGGUGUGCUCUGAAAAUAUUGAGUGAAGGUUGACACAGGAAUGAGACAUGCGCCUCUAUAAUAAAUGUAGCACUUCAGGUUUAAAGCAGAGGUGGGGAUGCGGAGCUAGAGGGUGGAGGGGAGAGGAAUUGAGGGGGAAGUGCAACGUAAACCGCAGUGAGCAGAGGAGGAGGGGAGUCGGGCUGAGGUGGAGGGCUUAUGUAACAGGUUCAGAUGCGGCCUCUACCUCUACAGAGGAUAACGAUUGGCAAGGGCAAUGAGGAUCAAAAGAGACCUUUGAAUUCUCUGUGAAAAUACUGACUGGGCCACCAGUUCAGGGACGAUAGAGGCAAACAGCCACGCCUUAGGCAACCAAUGACGAUGUAGUUACAACAACAACAACAUGUUUUCCCAAUCUUCCUCUUUUAACCGUCUACCUAUAAGUUCCACUUUAACCCAUUUGUAUCUUAUAUUUCAGUAUUAUCUUCUGGUAUUUUGUAUAUUUUGGAACGAUAUGGCUUCGAAGGAAUUCACAUCAUUUUUAAUUAAUAUUUGUGAAGAUUUGCAAUGCCUUUGAUGACCAAAUCUUAACCCAUUUUGUCUGGUUUAAAUUGAGGGUCCCUUGCCAAUUCUUUGAGAUAAGGAAAAAAACACCACCGGGCCGACACUGACAGAAGAGCCCACAUAAUAAAAUACAAACAAAAACAGGUAAAAAUAGAAAUCUGACCUCUGAGUUAAUGCACUCCUUUGAAAACAGUCCAGUUUGUAUCUUUCCAAAUAGGCCACCCUCAGUCUGCACAUUUGUUUUGCUGACUUUACACAGCUUACGACUGUGAGCAUAUGACUCGUAUGUUUUUGAGAAGAAACAAUCUCAUGUAAUGUAGAAAAAAGCUGGCAGCCGACAUAACAGAGUAAGCAGUCAGGGUGUAAAACGGUGAAGUAAUUAUCAUUGACCUCACAGUCUUCUUAUUUAAUUGGCAUGCAGACCCCUGAAGAACUGCGGUUACGGGACAAAAAAAAAAAAAAACAGGACAGCACAUAUUGUACUCGCUGAAACAAGUUUAUGAAGAGAAAAAGGAGAAAGAGGAGAGAGGAGUUAAAGACAUGAAAAGAUAUGAAAAGAGAGUGGAACUGGAGAUAGGGUGAGGUCAAAAAUGAGCAAGUGAAACAAGAUGAGAUGCACAGGAGGGUGAAAUUGUGGGAAGGUAGCAGAAAGAGAUAAGGUAAAGGAGCUUGUGCAUACCUUGCUGUGCUGUGCUCAGCUCAGCGGAAAAAAACACACCCUUACAUCUGCAUGCCGUUGGACUUGAGCAGAUGCACAGACGGAAAUAGCUCGGGUGAGGAAAGUAAAAGAAGGAUACGAGUCCAUCUAGGGCAGGAUGGAUGCACUCAACUUUGUUUGGCUGAGGUAGACAUUUUGAGAGAUCUAAUGUGUCCUGGGCUUUCACAGAAAACACUCUUCCUGGAGAUGGCUCGAGAUGUGUGCGUUCACUGAUCCACUGGAGAGGAGCUCUGUGCAACGGCAUGAAUUUGUUAUAAGAAGCCGACUGCUUCAACCACUGGUACAGCUGAGCAGACCCGUGUUUGGCACAGCUUGGACUCCUUUCAGAUGAUGGAGGCCUCCGCUCACACUGGAUGACAUUAGCCCACAGUUACAGUGACAAAAUGCUGCCAGCAGCUGAACCACUGACCUCCACAACAUUUACCCUCAACACCCCUAACUCUACCACACGCACCUACUGGCUGCAGAGCAUACAGACAGUUCACAUUAUAUUUGGUUGCAUUGUUGCUAUACCUCUUCAGUGCAAUAAUACCCGCAUUAUCAGGAAUCUUGAACAUUUUUAUAUUAAUAUAAAGGUAACUCCAACACAAUGUUCCUGCGUUAUAUUAUCCAAUCACACAAGGCCAUUAUUAUAGACCAAUAAUAAAAAGAGAUAUGCGUGAUGUAUCUGGAUAAAGGGUUAUGACAAAAAACAAAGAUGCAUGGUGAUAAAUUAACAUCAAGCUACCAAUGUCUCUACAUUGUUAUGUAACGCAAAGAGUGGUUUAAUUUAAAGGCACAAUACAGGUUCCUAAUGUAAGCAAAAGAGGCCCUACCUACCAAAAGAAAUACACCCAUCAAACUCAUAUUUUUUAAAAUAUUAGGGGGGCUUUCUGUCUUUAAUCGAUAGGACAGCUCAAGAUAGAUAGGAAAGAGGGAGAGAAAGGGGAUGACAUGUGGCAAAGGGCCACAGGUCAGACUUGAACCCAUGGCCACUGCAGCAAGGACUCAACCUUGGUACCAGCUGGGCACCAUCUCUGCCACGUGAGCUACAAAGAUGACCCCAUCCAACUUUUUCAUUCUUGAUAGCGAGCCCCAUACCUUAAUUCAUCUGUCCAUACUGAGCACUAUAUAUAAAAUAGUGUUCCCUUUUUUUUAAAUGUUAAUCUCAUCUGUAUAACUCACUGUGUGGAAGUCACUGGGGUCAUUUAUACUUGCAUCAUAUAAUGACAUUGAUAUUGGAUUGGUCCCUUCACGGCGGAUAACUGAUCUGCUUAUUAGGGAUCAGUAUCGGACCAGUAACGAUCGGAUCAUAUCGGAUCAGUGCAUCCAUAAUUGGAACCUGCUAUCACUCCCAAAUUGAUUGACAUGUUUUCUGACGCACAUUCAAACAGAAAGAAGGGACUAAAACAAAUGUAUUCAUGUCUUCAGUAGCUGAUGGUUUGUUUAUACAUAUUUAUAAUUUUAUUUUAUUAUUUUGAAAUCAGAAUCAGAUAUACUUUAAUACUUUAACAUAUUAAUUUAAAUAUGGUAUAAGGAACUGAGGAAUUUUUAUGUGGCAACACCUGUAUCUUCUACAGUUAAAAAAGUAAGUGACUGACUGUAAAUUAAGUAGUAAUGUGCAUCAUUUCCUCAGUAGCUCUUCAGCACCAUGGACAGCACUGACUGCCCAGCAGUGCUGGCUGACAGCUACAGGAGAGAUACUGCACACUGUCUGCUUAUCUUCACUUUGGCUGCUCCCACUGACAAUUAAUUUAUCUAAUCAACUGAUCAAUCAAAUUCAAAUCCAGCACACUCUUUAGGAGUUUCAGGGUUUCAUGCAGAGGACCCUAAACAGAAUGAAAUGAGACCCUAGAGACACUCAUUUGAUAAGAUCCAACAUCUUUUUCUUUUAGACAAUAUUUAUAUA